UACGAAGGGGGCUAGCGUUGUUCGGAUUUACUGGGCGUAAAGCGCACGUAGGCGGAUCGUUAAGUGAGGGGUGAAAUCCCAGGGCUCAACCCUGGAACUGCCUUUCAUACUGGCGAUCUCGAGUCCGGAAGAGGUGAGUGGAACUCCUAGUGUAGAGGUGAAAUUCGUAGAUAUUCGGAAGAACACCAGUGGCGAAGGCGACUUAUUGGACGAUUGUUGACGCUGAGGUGCGAAAGCGUGGGGAGCAAACAGG
rnacentral:rRNA from 1 species